CUACAGGCAAGACUAUGAGGAAGGACUCAGGGCAUGGGCUGGAAAACAGUGAGUAGGGAUUAGACUCAUGAAGAGGGGGAGUUUGGCUGAAAAGGUUUGGUUAAAGUGUACCUAAAUACCCAGUCUUUUGGAGGCCCCUUUUGGCAUUGGAGUCUUAUUUUAAUGAUAAUUAACUGUACAUGUUUUUUAAAACAGUGCCUUUAUUGUUUUUGUCGAUGCACCCUACUGUUUUCAGUACAGUGAUGGGAGCUUGCUUAGUAACUUGUAGAAAAGUGGAGCUUUUCUUUCAGCUUAAGUAAGAUGUAAAUAACAUAUACAGUACACUUAGGUGAUCUGGUGGCCUACUUCGCUGCCAUGCAGGGAAUUGAAGUUGAGGAUCUCAGCUAGCAUAAGCUGGAAGCACUGAAGGCAGCGUGCUUCACAGUCUUAUGUCACUCCCCAGCAAAUCCCUCUGGCUGGCUGAAGGAGUUCAUUGCUUUCAAAGAGCUUCCUGAAUGAGGACUGCAGUAGGCUUACUCAAAUGCUGGAUUCCCGAUCAAAACUCUAAUGGCACAGAGCAAUUGGUAGCAUGUAAUGACCUUCUGCACUAUCAGUUGAGUCUUUUGGGCAUUGAAAUUGAUUUUCCUUAUCUUGGCAUGUGAAGACAGGAGUCUGAUUCUCCUCAGAUCUCUAACGAAUAUUUUAUGGCACACACCAACAGCACAGGAUAUCUAGUCAACAGCUUUCUGGGCAUCCAAGUGGCGGGAUUAGUGGCUGCCCAGAGGCUGGUCUCUUAAACAACUUAUUCUCAUGUAGGUGGCUACCUUUUAUGCCCUGAUCUUGCAAACACACGUGUUUAGUCUUAACCAUGUGAAUAGUCCCACUGAAGUCAAUAAGACUACUCAUGUUAAAGUUAAGCAUAUUUAUGUUUGCAAGAUCAGGGUCCUCAUUACAGAAGACCAAUAAAGGCUAGUUGGUGUGAAGACUGAAAUAUUUUCUGCAUGUAGUCCUAUAAAGGGAAACUUCUAUGUAUUUGAAAUCGCUUUUCAAAUAUAUGGUGUCCAAAUUUCUGAUUUAGGCUGAUGCAUACUUGCUUAUUUCAGGGUAUUCACAUGAAGGAGAGAUACUAAUUAAUGCAAAGUUUCCAACCACAAAGAUCCACUGGGAAAUAAAAUACUUGGGUAAAUACCAACCAAAAAAACUCAGUAGAAUUUGCAGUAUGUCACAGAAUGACUCUUACCAAGUUUAAAAUUUUUAAAGAUAUUCUUCAGUAAAUGUUCAACUCUCAUUCUCAAUAAAGUCUUUAAAAGAACUAUAAUAGAAGUACUUCAGCAAUAAUUUCAAGUUUGGGGUGUGUUUUCCAUUUAUUUCAACUCUCCUUUUUUAAUCUUUUAUUGCUAAUGUACAAACAUUUCAUUUAUAAGAAGCUAAAUUAAACUACGUAAGAAGAAUGUGCCUCACAUGGGUUUUAAACUUUAAAAAGCUGCUUUGUUCAUUGAUUCAGUUGUGAAAAACACACACAACAUAGACAUAAGGCUAUUUGAACUCUUUAUUUGCCACAUUUACAAUAUUAAUAACACUGUUUCUAGAAGUUGUCACAUCAUGUAAAAGAUCUUCAUUCCAGACUGUCUUUUGGGGCCAAAUUGAGACUGGAUGCAUGCAUUUAAUAAAUUGUAGUCUCAAGUAGUCAUUUUUGUAAAUAAUUAGCUUCAGUGAAAGAAUAAGUUAGCAUAUUGUAUGCAUCUAAUGUUGCAAAUGUACAUACAGCAAACUUUCCUAUUAAUCAACAGUCAAGCACUGUAAGUUGGGUCUCAUACAUAAUGAAUUGUGCUUAAACCUCAUGGGUUUCAUUGAUAGAAAAAUAAGAGAAAACACAAGUGUAGUAAGCUUCUGAAUAAAAUUUAACUAGAUUGCUCUGCAUCCUGUAAUUGUUUUCAAAUCAUUAGGGACUAGAUAAUUCAUCUGCAGUUUUGGGGUUUUUUUGUCUUCAUCUAUCAAAGAAAGAAUAUUUAUAUGACGUUAAGAUAUUGAUUAAAUACAUUUUUUUAAAAUGUUCGCAUUGAAGUUUGACAGUACAUCUCCUAGCUAAACAUAUUUUUCAAUUUUAUACAUCUUUCUUUAAGAAAAUCUGGUUGGCUGAGUGAAUAUUUGAAGUUUUGUUUCAAUGCUAGUUUCAUGCUUUAAUUACUACUGAGUUGUACAUGUGAAAAAUAUGAUUCCGCCCAUUUCUGUAAGCAAAAACCAUUUUGAUGCAUAGGCUUUGAAACUUGUACUUAAUGGAUGAUAUAAAUAAAGAUUAAAAUAUUAAAACAGCUUAUUUACACUUUAGCCUUGUCCCUACAGACAGGACUAGUCCUUAUUCACAGAGAGAAUCCCUUUGACUUCAACAGGUCAUCUCCCAUGGAUCAUGUGAGCAAGGAUUUGUGUGGCAAAGUUAAAAAUUGCCAUAACGUAAAAUAAGUGAUCAUUAGGAAUGUUUUGACAAAACGUUUUAUUAUUGGAAAAUGCUGAUUUGUCAAAAACAAAGGUUCCUGUGAAAAGUUAUCAGUUUCAAUAAAACUUUCUCAUCGAGAAAGGUUUCAUGGAUCCUGGAUGGGAUUUGUGA